rnacentral:sRNA from 1 species
GCGCUCCGAAGACAGCAGGUGGUUUUACCGUAAAUUCCUGCCGAGGACAUCAACAAUAUUUUGAUUGUUUUUGUGCCUUCGCGUCUUUUGAUGCGGAGGUUUUCUUU